UGCGUAGGCGGUUUGGUAAGUCAGAUGUGAAAUUCCUGGGCUCAACCGAGGAACUGCAUUUGAUACUGCCAGACUAGAGUACUGGAGAGGAGACUGGAAUUCACGGUGUAGCAGUGAAAUGCGUAGAUAUCGUGAGGAAGGCCAGUGGCGAAGGCGAGUCUCUGGACAGUAACUGACGCUGAGGCACGAAGGCCAGAGGAGCAAACG
rnacentral:rRNA from 1 species